rnacentral:rRNA from 1 species
AACGAACGCUGGCGGCAGGCUUAACACAUGCAAGUCGAACGAGAUCUUCGGAUCUAGUGGCAGACGGGUGAGGAACACGUGGGAACAUCCCUUUCAGUUCGGAAUAACGUUGGGAAACUAACGCUAAUACCGGAUACGUCCUUCGGGAGAAAGAUUUAUCGCUGAAAGAUUGGCCCGCGUCUGAUUAGCUAGUUGGUGAGGUAAUGGCUCACCAAGGCUACGAUCAGUAGCUGAUCUGAGAGGAUGAUCAGCCACAUUGGGACUGAGACACGGCCCAAACUCCUACGGGAGGCAGCAGUGUGGAAUAUUGGACAACGGGCGCAAGCCUGAUCCAGCCAUGCCGCGUGAGUGAUGAAGGCCUUCGGGUUGUAAAGCUCUUUUAUCCGGGAAGAUAAUGACUGUACCGGAAGAAUAAGCCCCGGCAAACUUCGUGCCAGCCGCCGCCGUAA